GGUCUUGACAUCCCGGAGACCCUUAGGAAACUAGGGGUGCUUCCAUCUGGAAGAAUCUGGAGACAGGUGCUGCAUGGCUGUCGUCAGCUCGUGUCGUGAGAUGUUGGGUUAAGUCCCGCAACGAGCGCAACCCUUGCCUUUAGUUGCCAGCAGUUCGGCUGGGCACUCUAAAGGGACUGCCGGUGUUAAACCGGAGGAAGGUGGGGAUGACGUCAAGUCCUCAUGGCCUUUAUGACCAGGGCUACACACGUACUACAAUGGCCGAUACAAAGGGCAGCGACACUGCGAGGUGAAGCCAAUCCCGUAAAAUCGGUACUCAGUCCGGAUUGGAGUCUGCAACUCGACUCCAUGAAGUUGGAAUCGCUAGUAAUCGUGGAUCAGCAUGCCACGGUGAAUACGGUUCCCGGGCCUU
rnacentral:rRNA from 1 species